GCGCGCGGCCGCUUCCUGUUUUUAUGUAGGGGCGGCUGGGCCGGGCCGGGCCGGCGUGUGGCGGCAGCGGCGGUUGGGCGGAGGAGGGGCCGGCCGCCAUGGCGGUCUCCGAGAGCCAGCUCAAGAAAAUGCUCGCCAAGUAUACGUAUAGAGACCUAACUGUACAGGAGACAACCAGUGUUAUUACUCAGUACAAGGACCUCAAACCUGUCAUGGAUUCAUAUGUUUUUAAUGAUGGUUCAUCUAGGGAGUUGAUGAGCCUCAGUGGAACCAUUCCUGUGCCUUACAGAGGUAACACAUACAAUAUCCCAAUUUGCUUGUGGCUGCUGGACACCUACCCUUUCAACCCCCCAAUUUGUUUUGUUAAACCCACUAGCUCUAUGACAAUAAAAACUGGGAAGCAUGUUGAUGCAAAUGGAAAGAUAUACCUUCCUUAUCUGCAUGAGUGGAAAUAUCCCCAGUCAGACUUGCUGGAACUGAUUCAGGUCAUGAUUGUUGUGUUUGGUGAGGAACCUCCAGUCUUUUCUCGGCCUACUGCUUCAUCGAGCUACCCACCAUACCAGGCAACAGGCCCACCAACUACUUCCUACGUGCCGGGCAUUCCAGGUGGGAUAUCUAACUAUCCAGCAGGAAGCACUCCAAACCCAGGCAGCUACCCAAACUAUCCUUAUACGGGUGGUGUUCCAUUUCCAGCAACCACUAGUGUUCAGUACUACCCUCCUCAGCCUCCUGUGACUACUGUUGGACCCAGUAGAGAUGGAACUAUCAGCGAGGAUACCAUUCGAGCUUCCCUUAUUUCAGCAGUCAGUGAUAAACUGAGAUGGCGGAUGAAAGAAGAAAUGGAUCGUGCACAAGCUGAGCUCAAUGCCUUGAAACGGACAGAAGAGGACCUGAAGAAAGGACACCAGAAACUGGAAGAGAUGGUAACUCGCCUGGAUCAAGAAGUGGCUGAAGUUGACAAGAACAUUGAACUUCUCAAGAAGAAGGAUGAGGAGCUCAGUUCUGCCUUAGAGAAGAUGGAAAGUCAGUCAGAAAAUAAUGACAUAGAUGAAGUUAUUAUUCCUACAGCACCACUUUACAAGCAGAUCCUGAACUUAUAUGCAGAGGAAAAUGCAAUUGAAGACACCAUCUUCUACCUUGGGGAAGCAUUGAGACGUGGAGUGAUAGAUCUAGAUGUCUUUUUAAAGCAUGUACGUCUUCUGUCUCGCAAGCAGUUCCAGCUGAGGGCAUUAAUGCAGAAAGCAAGGAAGACUGCUGGACUCAGUGAUCUCUACUAAAUUCUCAGACUUUAACUGGGAGGUUAGAUUUCCUUAUGAAACAGCGAUUCUCUUAAUAUUUCUCUUAAUCAGUAGGUGCCCAGAAUAAGUUAUUACAUCAUUCAAGUGUAAGAUAUUUUGAAUCAAUAAUAUAUUUUCUUUUUGGUAAAGACUAGCUUUUAUUAAUGCACUUUCUAUCUCCUGUAAUCUUUGUGCUGGUGGACUUACGCUGAAUAAAACUUGUUGCAUAUUUUCUUCCUCUACAGAACUGUGUAUGAUGUGCUUGCUUUACAAACAGGCCUGGCUUAUGCAGUGUCAGCUUAACCAAACUUUGACUUCUGAGAUUUGGAAGACUUUUCAGUGUCCCGAACUGGAAGAAUUCAUGUUUUGGUGUAACUAACCUUUGUUAUGACCAAAGACUGAAAACUCAGAAUUUCAAGGCCCUGCUGUUUGACCUAGCUGUUGACAUCCAAGGAUUGUUUUCUUGAAGUGAGCCUAGCAACUGUUACAUUGACUUGCCUGUUCUACUCUUAGAUCAUGGUCAUAGUGGAGUAUACCUUAUGGUGUCUUAAGAAGCCUUGAUGUAUACUGCAUUUUUCCACUAGAAAAUGCUAGGCAAAAGACAGGCUGCUACAUUUGGUGUUGCACUACCUGCCAGGCAGAAAACACUACACACCAGAACGCCACAGGAAGCAUUGGACAGAGCUUGUAGUGACAAGCGUAGUGGUUAAACACUGCACUGUCUGCAAAAGAGGGUAUGUUGUACAGAGCAUCUCCCAGUUGGGAGUGCUGUAGGGAUUCAUGGUGCUGCUGUCCUUCUCCAUUUGCUUUUGUAGACUGCCUUUGCAAAGCUAGCUUGAAAACCGAUGUUUCUUGGUCUUGGUGCAGUAAUCAGUGUGGCUCAAAACUGAGUGUUCGUCUUAAGGCUUUUGAUGUUACCAUUGGAUCUGAGGAGGCUGGAGUUCAUAUUAAAAAGCUGGGUGAGACUUCAUGAAACAAAAAUGGUAAGAAGUCAGUCAGUCAAGUCCUGUGGAUCUUCUGAAAGCUUUGAAAAUGCCUUCAUACUAUCUUUCUGUCAUUGGUAUAAAACAUGACAAUUCAUAGUCACUAUUGCUAUGUGCUGUCUUUCCAGGUGCUAUUUUUGUCACGUGGAUAGAAGAGAAAGCAGUACAAGGAGAUGCUUUUCUGUGCUUAGCAGCAAGUUGACUUUUUAUGGAUGUCAAGUACUUGGAUGUGGAAAGAUUUCUUCCUACAUGCAUUUUUGUGUGUACAGGUAAGGAAGACACUUCCUUUUGUUGCAUUGCUUCUCCACUCUAGCAAUGGCAGUAGAGCCUGUUUCUCUGCGUUAUUAGAGGCAUCAAGCUUAACUUCUGAGUACUUAAAAAACAGAAGUAUUUCAUUCCUCCCUUGAGACUGUAUACUACCUAAAUAUCUGGGGCCUAAAACAGUAGCUGCACACAUAACCUUAUUACAUAGGUGAGGUUUGAGUUAGUGUGACUGAAGAAAUUGUUUGAUUUAGAUGGGUGCAAGUGGAGCUGCAUUUUAGAGACAGAGCCCUAUAAAGAAAAACAAGGAGAAAGAAGUAACAGUUUGUGGUUUAUUUGGUGUUGGAGCUGGUACUACAACUGGAGUUGGACAGUCACUGAUUGUGGUAUACAGAAACCUUAAUGUUUUUUAAACAUGCUCAGGAAACAAACUCAUACCUAGGCUGAUAUAGUACACAAAAAUAAGGUUCUCU